rnacentral:misc_RNA from 1 species
AAGUCGUAACAAGGUUUCCGUAGGUGAACCUGCGGAAGGAUCAUUAACAAAUCUAUGAGCGAAAGCUCAUCAACCUUUGUGAAUUGGGUUGUAUAGUUGGUAACAAAUAUACAAUUCCGUUGGGGUCCCUUUGUGUAAUAGAAAGAUUAUUUCUAAAGAUUGGUUCGAAAGAAUAUUUUGAAAGAUUUAAUUUUUUCUAUUGCAUAUAUUAUAUAUUAACAUUGUCUGAUUAUAGAUUGAAGUCGUAAGAUUUCAAAUAAAAAUACAACUUUUAACAAUGGAUCUCUAGGCUCUU